AGAAGCCUCUCUAGACUCCUGCAGCGGAAGAGGAAGUGGCACAUGCAGCGCUGUACGGUGGCCGAGGGACAGCGGCUGCUCUCUGAGCCCUAAGUCCAGCAGUGCUCGGGAAGCUGCAGCGACAGUGGUUUCUGUAGUCCGAGCCUGGAGAAGGGCGCCCGGCAGCCGGCACCAUGGUGAAGGAGCAGUUCCGGGAGACGGAUGUAGCUAAGAAAAUGGACUACAGAGGAGGCACCAUCCCAACUCUCCACCUUCACUGAGCAGGAGCAGCAGAUGAAAAAAAUAGAGAAACUCACCCUCUGGCUAAAUAAUAUGACCUGCGAAAGAAAUGAGCUGUGUGAAGUCCUCGCCAAUUAUACCACCAAGGAUUUGAACAACAGGCUGAAUUUUGAGCUUGAGAUGCUCAAAAUGGAGCAUAAGCAGGUGAUGUCUGACCUGCAGAAAUUGCCCACAGAGAUCAGUGAUGCCUUGAACAAGUGCAAGGGGCUAAUUAAGGAGACUGAAUCCUUCAGGAGCAAGAGAGCCUGGGUGAAAGACUAAAGGACCUGUUGAAGCAGAAGGAGCUGGUCACCCAGCAAAAGGACAUGGCAGAAAAGCUGCAACAUCACUUCAACGUCUCUGAGAUAAGGUCAGAAAAUCUUCAAUCUGAGUUUGAGCAGGCCACAGUCCAGGAUGAGAGCCUCAUGCAGACAGAGCUGCUGCAGCAGGAGCACUAAGUCUCACAGGCAAAUCUUGAGAGAACUGAGGAGGCCAAAGAAGCCAAAGAUGCCUUGAUCCCAUGAAGCUCUCCACCUCAGAUCGAGGUCUGCUCAGAAGACAUCCCUUAUAGCUGUGAUCUCACCAGUGAGGCAAAUACCAUCUGACCUCCAGGUGAUCCAGCCCCAAUCAAUAGGUCUGUUGACUCAGGAUUUCUGAAGAAAAGAAAGCAUCACAAAUGAACUCAAGACAGAAAAACCUGAGACAAGAAUUACUGGGAACCCUGACAUUCAAUAGCAAGUGGGCCCUGUGAGGGCUACAACAACAUAGAGGGUAGAGAUGUUGGUGAGCAAGACAUUUCCUGACACUUUAAUGUGAAAGGGUUUGGCAAGCUGACUUAGUCCUCAGCCCUCUCUAGGUGGAGGGAAAUCUGUCAUGGAAGACUGUUGAUGCCAAGCUGUUCCUGACAGACUACACCAAAACCCAUCAUUUUCAUUCUCCAGGCCAGUGCUGAAGCUGACUCCAUGUCAUGCACCAGUGUUGCUGAAGACAAUGCACCACAGAGAUCUCCACAGUCCAUCAUUCGCCGGGUUAGACAGUUUUUCCUGCAUAUUUAAAAUCAGUGGGUAUUUCUCCAUUUUUCAGCUUGAACUAAAUUGCCGGUCCUGAGAAAGGAUUUAUAGAAGACGUCUGAGUUACCCUUUGAUGUUUCUUGGUACUCAGAUGCUGCCCACAUAUUUGUGGAGUCUCUAGUAAGCACACAAGAGUCUGUAUGCUGAAAGAAUCAAAUAGUGACCAAGACGUUACAGGAUCAGAAGUGUGUGAUAAUUUAUCAAAAGCUUCCCAAGGAGCACAAAGAAUGCUCUAGAAAAUCUCUCAUUCUUAGUCUCAGUGAGGGCUUGGCCUACAAAGCCUGCAGGAGGCAUGGCUACAGUAGCUUUGAAAAGGCUUUCACAUUCGCUGACUGCCUUCCUACCAUGUUUCCAAGGCCAGCCACAGGCUGUAGGUCUGUGCUGCUAAAUGUAGAGAAAGAGAAUGCUGCUGACAUUAAUUAUUUUUGUUUGGUUUUUGGUUGGGUUUUGUUUGCUUUGGGUUUUUUUUGUUGUUGUUGUUGUUAUAGAUUGAGAUUUUGCUAUUUAUUUGUUCUUUCUUUUGUUCAUUUGUUAUUUGGGUAUUUUGAUAAGGCUAUUCACUGUUUAUAUUCACUUCUCCCUAUUGAGUAAUAUUACUUUGUUUUUAUUAAUAAUAAAGUGAUUUUGAACUUUUUUGUCUUAGAACCAA